rnacentral:lncRNA from 1 species
AAAAGAUUCUCGUGCCUCAGCCUCCCAAGUAGCUGUGAUUACAGGCACGUACCACCGUGCUGGCUAAUUUUUGUAUUUUUUUUAGUAGAGAUGGGGUUUUGCCAUUUUGGCCAGGCUGGUCUCAAACUCCAGACCUCGGGUGAUCCACCCACCUUUGCCUCCCAAAGUGCUGGGAUUGCAGGCAUGAGCCACAGCACCUAGCCCCCCGAGUGUCAGUUUUGAUUGUUUUUAUGGGUCAAAUUAGUAUGUUGGUGAACUGCGCUUAUGGUUAGGGUAACAAACAGAUCCUACCAUUUCUCUGUUCACCUUCUUACCUUCUCCCAAAGCAUGGUUCUGGUUUUGUUUUGUUUCAAUCAACAACCUACAUACAUUUAAUUGAUAUCCUAACCUCAAACCACCCUCUUCUCGAUACUAGAGGCAUUUUGAUUUGUAGGCAGCUUUGAGAGAGCUCCAGGACUAUGCCUUGUGGACCGCCAACUUUGGGGCAUGUAAUUGACCGAGGAGCAGGCUGUGCUCUAAAAUUUACUGAAGUGUUUGUGCUGAGGUGAGGCCUCUCAAAAGUUGCUACUCCCAGCCCGUGACUGAGGACAGCAGGGAUGUUAAGGCAGGUCUGGAAGACAGGGAAUGCCUGUCAUAGCUGCCUUGGGCUUCAGGACUACCUAGUGGCCUUGUUGAGCCUUCUUUUGACUGCAGAGUAGUUGAGGACACUUCUGCCCAGCUUCCUCUCCUCCUUCACUUAGGGUCCGGUUUGCAUGGUGGUUUGAUGUUUCUCCCAGUCUUACCCAGCUUUCUCCCAUUUUUUCUCACACAGGCACUUCCCCUAAUAAAGUUCCUGCACAUAACCCUGAUUUGACAUCUGAUUCUUGGAGGAGCUGAAUUAAUGCGAGCUUCCCAUUCUUACAGCCAUUAAAUGUAUUGUUUGGUAGUUUCCUACACACCCAUCACAAGCAGUUGUAUGUUGGAUCUUUGCUUUACUUUCCAACUGUGUGUUAGGAAUAGCUCUUUUGCUCAAUUCAGUAUAGUACCCUGCCUCUUACCCAUAGAGAUGCAGUCACAGAUCAUUACAUCUGUAUGGCAGUAAGUUAGGACUCUGAGACUUCAGUGGUCACAUACCAGGAAUGAAUGGAAUAUUCAUCUUAAGAACAAUUGGUGCCUGAUGAAUAACACAAAGAGGUAAUUUCAAUCUGAGUUUCAUAGAGGGUGUACCCAAAGAACAGAACUGUUCCUGGAGGCUGAGAUCACACUUUUGUUUGUAGGUGAAGCAGGAUUAAUGCAUCACCCUGCUGAAUGAUGAGCAGACACACCCUUGAAUUUAGUUAAAUAUGCACCCUUCCUGCCUUUACUCAAGAAGUUCAGUGUUUCCAAAGCUAUGAUUUAAGGGUAAACAUUCUUCCUCUCUGCAUCUUAGGGCUUCUGAUAUUCUGGAGAAACCAGUGUUAUCUGAGUGUCAAAGCUCAGUUAUUAACCCUUUCUCAGAGUUUCUGGAUAAUGUUAUUAGCUUUCAAGCACGUGAUGCUUCUCAAGAGAGCUGUUGACUUCCAGUCUGACCAAAUUCUUUCACGUCGUGGCGUGUACGAUGUAUAAAAGUUUUGGAAUGUCUCUGAGAUGACUUCUUCAGACACACAACCUUGCUGUAUUGCUCAAACUAGAUUUGCACUCCUGGAAUCCAGUAGAUCCUUCUACAUCCAGAAUUGGUGGGUUCUUGGUCUGACUUAAAGAAUGAAGCCAC